GACGAACGCUGGCGGCGUGCCUAAUACAUGCAAGUUGAGCGCUGAAGGUUGGUACUUGUACCAACUGGAUGAGCAGCGAACGGGUUAGUAACGCGUGGGGAAUCUGCCUUUGAGCGGGGGACAACAUUUGGAAACGAAUGCUAAUACCGCAUAAAAACUUUAAACACAAGUUUUAAGUUUGAAAGAUGCAAUUACAUCACUCAAAGAUGAUCCCGCGUUGUAUUAGCUAGUUGGUGAGGUAAAGGCUCACCAAGGCGAUGAUACAUAGCCGACCUGAGAGGGUGAUCGGCCACAUUGGGACUGAGACACGGCCCAAACUCCUACGGGAGGCAGCAGUAGGGAAUCUUCGGCAAUGGACGAAAGUCUGACCGAGCAACGCCGCGUGAGUGAAGAAGGUUUUCGGAUCGUAAAACUCUGUUGGUAGAGAAGAACGUUGGUGAGAGUGGAAAGCUCAUCAAGUGACGGUAACUACCCAGAAAGGGGCGGCUAACUACGUG
rnacentral:rRNA from 1 species